GGCUAUGGAAAAAAGAUAGAGAAAAUGUGUGAAAAGAAUUGCUGCGACAGGCCGAAGAGUGAAGUGGGUCCCCUUCCUGGAAUAAGCAAACAGUGCUGGGUUGACAAGCGUUCACAAGGGCUCCAGCACCCCGUCUAUAAAAUCCCUUCUGGGAGGAGAGGCAACAUAGGCUACUCAUGCUGGGAGCCAUAGCCCGGAGUGAGCUUUGCGGAAGAACUCUUGACCCCUGCUACAGGGCAAAACACGAGAGCCAAACCACCACCAUGCAGCGGUCUGAGCACCUUCCUGUAAGAGCAAGAACGUCCCAGCGGUUCGAGUGGGAAGAACGAGUCCCGCCGCGGGCGCCCCGCCACCAGACACCGCUCACGCGGUAACCCUGUUCUGCUGCUGCGGAUCCGGCCAUUUUUGUCAGAGACUAGUAAGAACUGAGCUGGGCCUGACCUUCCACAGCAGCAGACAACAGCCCAGACGUGGGUUUAUCCCGACAUGGCACCUCGCCCAGCAGCGAGUCCCCACGCUCGGCCUGGCACAGCGCGGCAGCAGCUGCCGGCGUGUCCCCGCCACACCGUGUCCCCACAACACGGGGUGUCCCCACAACGGGGUGUCCCUGCCACACCGUGUCCCCACCACACAGGGUGUCCCCACAACAUGGAGUGUCCCCGCCACACAAGGUGUCCCCGCCACACCGGAUGUCCCCGCCACACACCAUGUCAUGUCCCCGCCACACAAGGUGUCCCCGCCACACACCAUGUCAUGUCCCCACCACACACCAUGUCCCCGCCACACACCAUGUCGUGUCCCCGCCACACCGGCUGUCCCCACCACACGGGCUGGCGCUGCGCAGGGACCCGAGCGGCUCCAGCGUGUGCAGCUCCAGAGCCACACAUGCCUGAUCGCUAUCAGUUUGAUUGAACCAAGGCUGGGAAGCGCAAUCGCCAUUGCUUAUCCCUGGAAAUAUCGCUGGUUGUUCCAUCAUCCGUUUCCUCCACAAUUCUGCUUUGCAUUUUUUCACAAAGAUGUUCCAUUUUUUCAAUAGCUCUCUGAUCCCAAUCUCCUACUUAGUAGCUCAUAAUUUGAAAAUACUAUACUGAAGCAAAACUGAUCACGAAAAAAGGUAAAGAAAAAUACAGCGCUGAUACUGAAAAGAAAAAGAAAUAGCCUGGUAUUUCCCCCGCUCUUGCACUAUUCGGUGGUGCCGAUAACUCAGAAACAGCAGAGCGCUGUGAAUUAAUUCUGCUGAAUGAGAAGAGGGCAAGAGUGAUAAGAUCCAAUAAUAUAAACAAUAAUGUAUCAAAAGCGUGCCAUCUCCAAACGGCGCUGCAGCCCCAGCACCCAGGCACGUCCCGCGGCAGCGCACGCUCCCUCCCCUGCCAAGGAAAACGGCAUUUCACCAGCUUUCUGAGCUUUGUUUUAUUUGUGCCCGGAGUGUCCUCAGCACACUCGUUAGUUCAAGUCUUAGAAUGAGCUGAAAAUGAAUUACAGAUGGGCGCUGAGCACAACAGAAUGCUACUAUUUGUUGAAGACACUUUGUGUACAUGUCUCUCACCCAAAAUGCAAAACACAGCAAGGGCUGGCAAGAGACGGGCCCUCUGCACUGCUUCAGCCAAACACAGCACUAGAAAUACAUGCCCAGAAUUAGCUGCAUAUAUUAUUACGUGAUUUUUAGAAACCCAGUUGUGAAAGGGAAGAUGUCAAGUGCAGAAACAAAUCCACCAGCAGAGAGGAGAGGCCAGGUUUGCGGCACACACCGAAACACCCAACGGCCCGUCCCAAAGCUGCGUCCCACCCGCUGCCCCCAGCCCCUCGCUGCGCCGCGCCACGGGCUCCCGCUGCUGCCCAAAGGAGCGCUGGGGCCUGCGCACCGGCACCGCCAGCACCGCGCACCGGCACCGCCAGGAUCCAGGCACCGGCACCGCCAGGAUCCAGGCACCGGCACCGCCAGCACCCGCGCACCGGCACCGCCAGGAUCCAGGCACCAGCACCGCCAGCACCCACGCACCAGCACUGCCAGGAUCCAUGCACCGGCACUGCCAGCACCCGCGCACUGGCACUGCCAGCACCCGUGCACCGCCACCCCCACAGCGUCACCUCCCGCUCGAAACACGCUCUCUGGGUUCCCCAGUUGUGGUGUCCCCUGCCGUGGUGUCCCCCAGCCAUGGUGUCCCCCAGCCGUGGUGUCCCCCAGUCAUGGUGUCCCCCGUGCGGGCGGAGGGACGUUCCUUCUGCAGCCUUGUCUUGUUCACAAGGUCUCUUCUAAAGGUAUCGGCAAGAAUCAUUUGUUGCUGUUAUAAAUGGGUGGAUGUGACUAAAGAUUUCUCUACCCAACAUAUUUUUAAGAGUUGGUAUCAGAAUUUAAAGAACUGGGGGAAGCACAGGAGCCUGGGCAGAUUCACGCGGCAGUCCCGUGUGCACAGAGCGCUCACUAAACACACGGGGUUGUGCUCUACGCAGCUGCAGACACUAACACAUUACUGCUUCAUCAACACUUGCGGUUUACUUUGGCAAGGCCACAACAUCACAUUUCUCAAAGUCUUCUGUACCUUAAUAAAUCCAAGCACGUUUGGAACAGAGAAGGGAAGAGACGGGAUGCACAGGGCACAACUAGGAACAGCUUCCUGCCACGCCUGAUUAACGGAGCAAAACCAAAACGCAGCGUCUGUUGGAAGAGGUCCCAGCCAAGGUACAGGUUGUGUAAAUUGCCCUUAAGGAAAAGAGGGAAAAGGACACUUCCUUUGGGAACCGCUGCAGGUUUUUUCCAGGUUUAGUUUUUUUGAUGUUAUUGUUUGUUGGGGGUUUUUGUUUGUUUGUUUGGCCUUUUUUUUCCCCAACAAACAGUGUGACCAUGAGGGAGGGGAGGGGGGAGUCCCGCUGGUACCGCUGCCAGCACGACCGCGGUGCAGAGCCCGGCACGGCACGGGCCGCGCACCGACACGGGGCCACACACCAA